rnacentral:rRNA from 1 species
GACGAACGCUGGCGGCGUGCUUAACACAUGCAAGUCGAACGGAAAGGCCCUGCUUUUGUGGGGUGCUCGAGUGGCGAAAGGGUGAGUAACACGUGAGUAACCUGCCCUUGACUUUGGGAUAACUUCAGGAAACUGGGGCUAAUACCGGAUAGGAGCUCCUGCUGCAUGGUGGGGGUUGGAAAGUUUCGGCGGUUGGGGAUGGACUCGCGGCUUAUCAGCUUGUUGGUGGGGUAGUGGCUUACCAAGGCUUUGACGGGUAGCCGGCCUGAGAGGGUGACCGGCCACAUUGGGACUGAGAUACGGCCCAGACUCCUACGGGAGGCAGCAGUGGGGAAUAUUGCACAAUGGGCGGAAGCCUGAUGCAGCAACGCCGCGUGCGGGAUGACGGCCUUCGGGUUGUAAACCGCUUUCGCCUGUGCCGAAGCGUGAGUGACGGUAAUGGGUAAAGAAGCACCGGCUAACUACGUG